GAUGAACGCUAGCGGCAGGCUUAAUACAUGCAAGUCGAGGGACAGCACAGGUAGCAAUACUGGGUGGUAACCGGCAAACGGGUGCGGAACACGUACACAACCUUCCUUUAAGUGGGGGAUAGCCCAGAGAAAUUUGGAUUAAUACCCCGUAAUAUAGUUGAAUGGCAUCAUUUGAUUAUUAUAGCUACGGCGCUUAAUGAUGGGUGUGCGGCUGAUUAGAUAGUUGGCGGGGUAACGGCCCACCAAGUCUACGAUCAGUAGCUGAUGUGAGAGCAUGAUCAGCCACACGGGCACUGAGACACGGGCCCGACUCCUACGGGAGGCAGCAGUAAGGAAUAUUGGUCAAUGGACGCAAGUCUGAACCAGCCAUGCCGCGUGAAGGAUUAAGGUCCUCUGGAUUGUAAACUUCUUUUAUCUGGGACGAAAAAGGGCCUUUCUAGGUCAACUGACGGUACCAGAUGAAUAAGCACCGGCUAACUCCGUGCCAGCCGCCGCCGUAAAAC
rnacentral:rRNA from 1 species